rnacentral:rRNA from 1 species
AAUUGGAGGGCAAGUCUGGUGCCAGCAGCCGCGGUAAUUCCAGCUCCAAUAGCGUAUAUUAAAGUUGUUGCAGUUAAAAAGCUCGUAGUUGGAUUUCUGUUAAUAAUUUAUAUAUAAUAUUUGAUUAAUAUUUAUAUAAUAUUAACAUAAUUCAUAUUACUAAAAGAUUUUACUUUGAGAAAAUUAGAGUGCUUAAAGCAGGCAUAUGCCUUGAAUACUCCAGCAUAGAAUAAUAUUAAAGAUUUUUAUCUUUCUUAUUGGUUCUAAGAUAAAAAUAAUGAUUAAUAGGGACAGUUGGGGGCAUUUGUAUUUAACAGUCAGAGGUGAAAUUCUUAGAUUUGUUAAAGACAAACUAAUGCGAAAGCAUUUGCCAAGGAUGUUUUCAUUAAUCAAGAACGAAAGUUAGGGGAUCGAAGACGAUCAGAUACCGUCGUAG